rnacentral:rRNA from 4 species
GUAGUGACCUGCGGAGGAUCAUUA